GAUGAACGCUAGCUACAGGCUUAACACAUGCAAGUCGAGGGGCAGCAUUAUCGAAGCUUGCUUUGAUAGAUGGCGACCGGCGCACGGGUGCGUAACGCGUAUGCAACCUACCCGUAACAGGGGUAUAACGGAGGGAAACUUCCACUAAUCCCCCAUAUUGUCACUUUCUCGCAUGGGGAGGUGACGAAAGCUUAAUUGUGGUUACGGAUGGGCAUGCGUGACAUUAGGUAGUUGGCGGGGUAACGGCCCACCAAGCCGACGAUGUCUAGGGGAGCUGAGAGGCUUAUCCCCCACACUGGUACUGAGACACGGACCAGACUCC
rnacentral:rRNA from 1 species